UCCAAAACCACUUUCACGGUGAUUUUUAGUUAAAUUUCACCCGAAAUCCACAGCAAUUUGUCCAGAUACUCCUGGAUGAAAACAAAACUAUCUGGUGAUUUGUAGCUAUCUCAAUCCCAGAUCUUGCUACAGCCUCUGUGUGUGUUUGUGUUUUCUGGAUAUUCUCUAUGGACUUUAAGGUUUGGAAUGCAUUUUAGCAGGACCCUUUUUGUUUUCUGCUGGCAAACGCUAAUUGGUUCCACCUGGAGUCAAAUACUCCACACAUUCGAGUUUUCUAGGAAGGAAGCUUCAGAAACCUGAGAAAACAUGAUAUUUCUUUCUGUAAACAUGACAUUGGAUACAUUUGCAGAACAGGAAGAUUGUGCUUUUCUCCAAAACCACUUUCACGGUGAUUUUUAGUUAAAUUUCACCCGAAAUCCACAGCAAUUUGUCCAGAUACUCCUGGAUGAAAACAAAACUAUCUGGUGAUUUGUAGCUAUCUCAAUCCCAGAUCUUGCUACAGCCUCUGUGUGUGUUUGUGUUUUCUGGAUAUUCUCUAUGGACUUUAAGGUUUGGAAUGCAUUUUAGCAGGACCCUUUUUGUUUUCUGCUGGCAAACGCUAAUUGGUUCCACCUGGAGUCAAAUACUCCACACAUUCGAGUUUUCUAGGAAGGAAGCUUCAGAAACCUGAGAAAACAUGAUAUUUCUUUCUGUAAACAUGACAUUGGAUACAUUUGCAGAACAGGAAGAUUGUGCUUUUCUCCAAAACCACUUUCACGGUGAUUUUUAGUUAAAUUUCACCCGAAAUCCACAACAAUUUGUCCAGAUACUACUGGAUGAAAACAAAACUAUC